UGCGUCGGAACGUACCGAGUAAUGGGGGAUAACGCGGCGAAAGUCGCGCUAAUACCGCAUACGCCCUGAGGGGGAAAGCAGGGGAUCGCAAGACCUUGCGUUAUUCGAGCGGCCGACGUCUGAUUAGCUAGUUGGUGGGGUAAAGGCUCACCAAGGCGACGAUCAGUAGCGGGUCUGAGAGGAUGAUCCGCCACACUGGGACUGAGACACGGCCCAGACUCCUACGGGAGGCAGCAGUGGGGAAUUUUGGACAAUGGGGGCAACCCUGGUCCAGCCAUUCCGCGUGAGUGAAGAAGGCCUUCGGGUUGUAAAGCUCUUUCAGUUGGAGCGAAACGGUACGCUCUAACAUAGCGUGCUAAUGACGGUACCAGCAGAAGAAGCACCGGCUAACUACGUG
rnacentral:rRNA from 1 species